rnacentral:rRNA from 1 species
UACGUAGGGGGCUAGCGUUGUCCGGAUUUAUUGGGCGUAAAGAGCGUGUAGGCGGCCAGGUAGGUCUGGUGUGAAAACUCGAGGCUUAACCUCGAGAUGCCGAUGGAAACCAUGUGGCUAGAGUCCGGAAGAGGAGAGUGGAAUUCCUGGUGUAGCGGUGAAAUGCGCAGAUAUCAGGAAGAACACCCGUGGCUAAGGCGGCUCUCUAGUACGGUACUGACGCUGAGACGCGAAAGCGUGGGGAGCGAACAGG